GAUGAACGCUGGCGGCGUGCCUAAUACAUGCAAGUCGAGCGAACGGACGGGAAGCUUGCUUCUCUGAUGUUAGCGGCGGACGGGUGAGUAACACGUGGAUAACCUACCUAUAAGACUGGGAUAACUUCGGGAACCCGGAGCUAAUACCGGAUAAUAUUUUGAACCGCAUGGUUCAAAAGUGAAAGACGGUCUUGCUGUCACUUAUAGAUGGAUCCGCGCUGCAUUAGCUAGUUGGUAAGGUAACGGCUUACCAAGGCAACGAUGCAUAGCCGACCUGAGAGGGUGAUCGGCCACACUGGAACUGAGACACGGUCCAGACUCCUACGGGAGGCAGCAGUAGGGAAUCUUCCGCAAUGGGCGAAAGCCUGACGGAGCAACGCCGCGUGAGUGAUGAAGGUCUUCGGAUCGUAAAACUCUGUUAUUAGGGAAGAACAUAUGUGUAAGUAACUGUGCACAUCUUGACGGUACCUAAUCAGAAAGCCACGGCUAACUACGUG
rnacentral:rRNA from 1 species